rnacentral:rRNA from 1 species
AUUGAACGCUGGCGGCAUGCCUUACACAUGCAAGUCGAACGGUAACAGGUCUUCGGAUGCUGACGAGUGGCGAACGGGUGAGUAAUACAUCGGAACGUGCCCAGUCGUGGGGGAUAACGCAGCGAAAGCUGUGCUAAUACCGCAUACGAUCUGAGGAUGAAAGCGGGGGACCUUAGGGCCUCGCGCGAUUGGAGCGGCCGAUGGCAGAUUAGGUAGUUGGUGGGAUAAAAGCUUACCAAGCCGACGAUCUGUAGCUGGUCUGAGAGGACGACCAGCCACACUGGGACUGAGACACGGCCCAGACUCCUACGGGAGGCAGCAGUGGGGAAUUUUGGACAAUGGGCGCAAGCCUGAUCCAGCAAUGCCGCGUGCAGGAUGAAGGCCUUCGGGUUGUAAACUGCUUUGUACGGAGCGAAAAAGACUCUCUCUAAUACAGAGGGCCCAUGACGGUACCGUAAGAAUAAGCACCGGCUAACUACGUGCC